rnacentral:rRNA from 1 species
GACGAACCGUGCGAGCGUUGUUCGGAUUCAUUGGGCGUAAAGGGUGCGUAGGCGGCGCGGUAAGUCGGGUGUGAAAUCUCGGAGCUUAACUCCGAAACUGCAUUCGAUACUGCCGUGCUUGAGGACUGGAGAGGAGACUGGAAUUUACGGUGUAGCGGUGAAAUGCGUAGAUAUCGUAAGGAAGACCAGUGGCGAAGGCGGGUCUCUGGACAGUUCCUGACGCUGAGGCACGAAGGCCAGGGGAGCAAACAGG